AACCCUCGCCCACUCUCACUUAAUCAAAACCCAUAGCAAUAAAGAGACUACAGAUCUAUCAAUCUCUGUUCCUUCACUUAAUCUCUUCCAUUUCUUCUUUACUUGAUAUCUUCCAUUUCUUCUUCAUUUCCUCCGAUUUCAAGCCCGUGUAGUUUGAAAAUUCCAAAUACAAUAGCUCUCUGCUUUUCUUCAGCGCCUCCUCUGUUGCAAAAUGAAAGAGAUAUGAAAGAAAACUUCAGAUCUAUCAAUCAAUUGGAUGUAAGUUUAUUUAAUUUUGCUCUUUCAUACAAAUUCCUCUUCGAUUUUGCUUUGAUUUUGCUUUUUUGUCUUUAUUUCUUCAUGCAUGUGGGUUUUAAGUUUAUUUUCUCUGUUAAUUUGUAGAAUCGAUGUAUUUUGAAGAAAUUUGAUAGAAUCGGUGUAUUUUGAAUCGGCAAAAAUUUGGUAGAAUCGAUAGAAAUUUGGUUGAAUCGGUGUAUUUUGAAGAAGGAUAUAACACUCUUUUCGCCGACUUGAUCAUCAACCUUAACAUAUUUCUUGUCUUUACAAUAACAAUUGCAGCCAAUUCUGGUUAGGAAUUUCUUGCCAUAGGACUUGUUAUUGGUAUUUGCUUGUGGCUAAUGCUGAUGUUUUCUUGAAAUAUUCUGCAAUAAUGCACUUCUACUAUUCCAGCUUGAUUCUGAAUGAAUACUUGGAGUUUUGUGGCAUUUUGUGGUUCACUAUUUGUCACUAAAUAGUGGGUUUUAUUAAGUGGCACUUCACAGUUCAGUUGGUUUGUUUAUUUUAGAUUCUUGGCCUCAUUUCUUCCUUAACAUUAUAGGAGUAUCAUAUUCCACGGUAAAAUAUUCUAGCAGUUUCAAUUUUUCCAUUGCAAACAAAUAUUCCUUAUACAUAUCCAUUGAUUAAUCAAUCCAAUAUAUACAAGAUAGAUGUUUUCAUAUACAUAUUUACAAUUAAAUCAUGAAUAAGUAAUGUGUUUUCUUUUUAACUUUUAAUUGCUAAGUUAAACUGUUUGAUUAGAAUAAAAACCAAGUACGAGUAAGUAUUUACUCAUAUAUUCUGGUGCAUAACAUAAUCAAAUUGUUUGCAUUCAUAAUAUCCUAAUUCCUAGGAGUAAUUUAGAAGAAUAAAUAUGUGUUUAUUAUUAUAACAUUAACCGUGCACUAACAAUUGAAGUGUACGCUUAUGCAUAGCCAUAAAUAGUAUGAGAAGGCUCCAUUUUGGAUUUGAGUAAUUUGUUCGAUUUUUGAGGAUACGAAAAGAAGUUACAGGAGGAAGAUAAAUUCAAAUGAACCUCAAGGAAUAACUGAUUUUGGAUCUAUGUUUGGUUGAUUUAAUUAGCUUAGCUUUAUUAUGUCAAAGAGAUAAGGUGGACGACUGGUUGGGUCAAUUCUUCAAACUAAUAACUCACAAUAAAAGUGGUGGAUUAUUCUGCUAUUAGUCUUCUUUGUUGAUAUUUAACUUAUCUAUAAGUUAUUUAUUCUCUUAUUUAGACAUUUCAUUCGCAAAAGUUUGAUAUCAGUUAAGGAACACCUUCCCCAAUCUCAUAUUCUUGAUAUUGGAAUUACAAUAGAGAACUGUCAACAUCAAGAAUUAGAAUAGAGUUCCAAGGCAACUACUUGAACAAAACAGAGAAGUAAACUAUAGGGAAGACAUGAGACAUGGAAAUUGGAAUGAUCCAAAUUAAAGCACUUCAUUAGCAUUAUAUCAGAAACAGAGCAAAGAAACCAGUAUACAGAAUAAGAAUAGGAUUAUGAUUUCCCAGGAACAACUUCUAAUAUGUGAAUAAUAUCCAUAUUUUAAAUAUUGUUACAUAAAUCCUUAUUAUGGUGAAUUUUGUGUUACUAACUGCAGUGCCAAAGUUUCAGCACUUGUUUUAUAAUAGAAAAAGAUAUUAUUCUUCUAUUGUUUUUCUUUUUUAACUUGUCAAUCACUGAUUGAGUUUGAAAUUUCGCCAAAUGAUGUUGUUGGUAAGGUGUUGGGAAAAGAGCACUCUGGAAGGGUAAGGUGCUUAGGAUUAGGAGUUAUUCCUGGCAGAGCUUUUAGACAAAUAAGACCUCGUUAUAGUGAUUUGAAUGCUUCAAGUUAUAAUAAUAGUUCAUAUUCUUCCCAAUGCCAAGAGAAGUACAAUCAAAUGUUGAAUGCUCACAAUCAAAGCCAAGAAAACUACAGAGAAAUGAUGAAUGUUAACACUCAAAUGAUGAAUGCUUUUAAGGUGUAUAUGAUAAUUAAAGAAGGGAAGAUACCUAAAGAAUUUGCAGGGAUAUUUGUUUCUCCUCCUCGUUCAACGGUA
rnacentral:lncRNA from 1 species